rnacentral:misc_RNA from 1 species
GAUGAAGAACGCAGUGAAAUGCGAUACGUAAUGUGAAUUGCAGAAUUCAGUGAAUCAUCGAGUCUUUGAACGCACAUUGUGCCCCCUGGUAUUCCGGGGGGCAUGCCUGUCCGAGCGUCAUUGCUGCCCUCAAGCACGGCUUGUGUGUUGGGCCUCCGUCCUCCUCCCGGGGGACGGGCCCGAAAGGCAGCGGCGGCACCGCGUCCGGUCCUCGAGCGUAUGGGGCUUCGUCACCCGCUCUUGUAGGCCCGGCCGGCGCUUGCCGACACAUCAAUCUUUUUUCCAGGUUGACCUCGGAUCAGGUAGGGAUACCCGCUGAACUUAAGCAUAUCAAUAAGCGGAGGA